rnacentral:rRNA from 1 species
CCUGACUGCUAUCGGAUUGAUACUAAGCCAUGCGAGUCAUUGUAGCAAUACAAGGCAGACGGCUCAGUAACGCGUAGUCAACCUACCCUAUAGACGGGAAUAACCUCGGGAAACUGAGAAUAAUGCCCGAUAGAACAUUAUGCCUGGAAUGGUUUAUGUUCCAAAUGAUUUAUCGCUGUAGGAUGGGACUGCGGCCUAUCAGUUUGUUGGUGAGGUAAUGGCCCACCAAGACUAUUACAGGUACGGGCUCUGAGAGGAGUAGCCCGGAGAUGGGUACUGAGACACGGACCCAGGCCCUAUGGGGCGCAGCAGGCGAGAAAACUUUGCAAUGUGCGAAAGCACGACAAGGUUAAUCCGAGUGGUUUCUGCUAAAGGAACCUUUUGUCAGUCCUAGAAACACUGAUGAAUAAGGGGUGGGCAAGUUCUGGUGUCAGCCGCCGCGGUAAAACCAGCACCUCAAGUGGUCAGGAUGAUUAUUGGGCCUAAAGCAUCCGUAGCCGGCUCUAUAAGUUUUCGGUUAAAUCUGUACGCUCAACGUACAGGCUGCCGGGAAUACUGCAGAGCUAGGGAGUGGGAGAGGUAGACGGUACUCGGUAGGAAGGGGUAAAAUCCUUUGAUCUAUUGAUGACCACCUGUGGCGAAGGCGGUCUACCAGAACACGUCCGACGGUGAGGGAUGAAAGCUGGGGGAGCAAACCGGAUUAGAUACCCGGGUAGUCCCAGCUGUAAACUAUGCAAACUCAGUGAUGCAUUGGCUUGUGGCCAACGCAGUGCUGCANGGAAGCCGUUAAGUUUGCCGCCUGGGAAGUACGUACGCAAGUAUGAAACUUAAAGGAAUUGGCGGGGAGCACCCACAGGGGUGAAGCCUGCGGUUUCAUUGGAGUCACGCC